AACGCACGAGACCUGCGGACCUGCGGAAGGAUCAUUAGUGAACGCCCUCACGGGCUUAUAACUAUUCCAAACCUCUGUGAACCGUGCCCUUCGGGGCUAUUUUACGAACAUGGUGUAAUGAACGUCAUAUAUCAUAACAAAACAAAACUUUUAACAACGGAUCUCU
rnacentral:misc_RNA from 1 species